AUUGAACGCUGGCGGCAUGCCUUACACAUGCAAGUCGAACGGCAGCAUGGAAGAGCUUGCUCUUCUGAUGGCGAGUGGCGAACGGGUGAGUAAAGCAUCGGAACGUACCGUGUAAUGGGGGAUAACGUAGCGAAAGUUACGCUAAUACCGCAUACGACCUGAGGGUGAAAGCAGGGGAUCGCAAGACCUUGCGUUAUACGAGCGGCCGAUGUCAGAUUAGCUAGUUGGUGAGGUAAAGGCUCACCAAGGCGACGAUCUGUAGCGGGUCUGAGAGGAUGAUCCGCCACACUGGGACUGAGACACGGCCCAGACUCCUACGGGAGGCAGCAGUGGGGAAUUUUGGACAAUGGGGGCAACCCUGAUCCAGCCAUGCCGCGUGAGUGAAGAAGGCCUUCGGGUUGUAAAGCUCUUUCGGCCGGGAAGAAAUCGCACAGGCUAAUACUCUGUGUGGAUGACGGUACCGGCAUAAGAAGCACCGGCUAACUACGUGCCAGCAGCCGCCGUAA
rnacentral:rRNA from 1 species